ACUUAAAUAAUAUACUUAUUAUAUUUGAUUUCCAAUCAAAAAAUCUAAUUCUUAAUUAGUUUAAGUA
rnacentral:tRNA from 1 species